AGAGUUUGAUCAUGGCUCAGAACGAACGCUGGCGGCAGGCCUAACACAUGCAAGUCGAACGGAUGUAGCAAUACAUUAGUGGCGCACGGGAGAGUAACGCGUGGGAACCUACCUUUUGGUUUGGGAUAACGUCGGGAAACUGACGCUAAUACCAGAUAAGCCCUUCGGGGGGAAAGAUUUAUCGCCGAUUGAUGGGCCCGCGUUAGAUUAGCUAGUUGGUGAGGUAACGGCUCACCAAGGCGACGAUCUAUAGCUGGUCUGAGAGGAUGACCAGCCUCACUGGGACUGAGACACGGCCCAGACUCCUACGGGAGGCAGCAGUGGGGAAUAUUGGACAAUGGGGGCAACCCUGAUCCAGCCAUGCCGCGUGAAUGAUGA
rnacentral:rRNA from 1 species